GCACGCCUGCCAUUUGCCUAUAGCCUAAACCGUGCUUGCCAUUCUAUUCCAAUGGUUGUUUGCGUCAGACUUCUAUUCCAUCUCCAGCAUCAUCAGACUCCUAUUCAAUCUUCAGCAUUAGAGAUCUUUGCAAUCAUCGUCUGCUCUUUGCAUCGGACUUCUAUUCGAUCUUUAGCAUCUGUUCUUUUUUUUUUUUUUAUCUUGGUGACUGGAUUGGUUUUGGGUAGACGAAGAAGUUGGGGCUAGCAAGAAUUUCCCAACUUUCAAGGAGAGUUUCAAAUUGGAUUGGGGUUUGCAUAAGCCUGAGGCCUUUUUCGAUCGUUGCUGACCUUCAAUCAAGUGGUUUAAAGGUGGAUUUUUGCAUUGUUUUUUGAGUUGGAUCUUUUCUUCAUUGUUGGCAAAGGUUCUUAUAGGUUUGAUUUUUUUAUUUUUGUUCUCAAGAAUUUGAUAUCAGGAAGGUCAAAGUGUCAAAUUGUGUGUCUUUUUUUGGAGUAUGAGAAAGUAAGAAGACAUUACUUUGUUGCACACAGAGUUCUUUCAAAAGUUUUUUUUGCUUUAAUGAUGUAAAGUUUGUACUUAGAUUAUAUUUAUAUUAUAUUCGCUUUUAUGUAAGAUUUUGGUUUUAGUUUUGAGGUUUACAAUCAUUUUCUGGACUUUGCCUUUUCAGUGAUACAGAUUUUGAUCUUUUGAGUAUUUUGAUCUUAUUGAGGUUCAAUUUGGGAAGGAGGGAGAGUCUAAUUGUUUUUUGGCUUUUGCUUUAUCUGUUUUAUAAUUGUUUUCUUUGGGUGUUGCAGAUUGUAUGCAACAAAGUUUUGUAUCGUUUUACUGUCACUGUUCCUUUGUUUGUUGGUUAGCAUUAUCUUCGUCUCUUAUUGUUAUUUAGACACUGGGAACAGUGUGCUAUCAGCUUCUGUUAUUGUGGAUUCAAGUAUGAAUUUUACACUUGUAUGAGUUGUAUACAUUCUUACUGCAAUGGACAUUCAACAGUUAUUUGUUUAAAUGAUUGGUCUUUCUGUCAACCAUGGUUGCGGACAUUCAAGAGUUAUUUGUUUAAAUGAUUGGUCUUUCUAUCAAUCAUGGUUGGAGAAAUCAUGAAGUUAAUCCGUUCAACUAUUGAAGUUUCGAAACCUUUUUAGUCAAAGCUGCA